AGGAGCCUACGGGGGGCAGCAGUGGGGAAUAUUGGGCAAUGGGCGCAAGCCUGACCCAGCGACGCCGCGUGAGGGAAGACGGUCUUCGGAUUGUAAACCUCUUUCAGCAGGGAAGACAAAAGGACGGUACCUGCAGAAGAAGCCACGGCUAACUACGUGCCAGCAGCCGCGGUAAUACGUAGGUGGCAAGCGUUAUCCGGAAUUACUGGGUGUAAAGGGCGUGUAGGCGGGAAUGCAAGUCAGAUGUGAAAACUAUGGGCUCAACCCAUAGCCUGCAUUUGAAACUGUAUUUCUUGAGUGCUGGA
rnacentral:rRNA from 1 species